rnacentral:rRNA from 1 species
ACACUUAAAACGCCUGGGUACUACGAGCCCCGCUUAAAACCCAAAGGAUUUGACGGUGUUCCACCCAACUAGAGGAGCCUGUUCUAUAAUCGACAAUCCACGAUCUACCUAACCAUUUUUUGCUACUCAGCCUGUAUACCUCCGUCGUAAGCUUAUCAUUUGAAUGAGAAAAAGUAAGCACAAGGACUAAAAGCCAAAACGUCAGGUCAAGGUGCAGCUUAUAAAAUGGAAGAAAUGAGCUACAAUUUCUAAUCUAGAACACACGAAUUACUGCAUGAAACAAAGUCAUGAAGGUGGAUUUAGCAGUAAGUAGGGAAUAGAGAGCCCUACUUAAUUUGGCCCUGGAACG